GGUACCAUCGUAUAAUGGUUAGUACAGCGUGUUGUGGCCGCGCAGAUGAGUGUUCGAUUCCCUCUGGUGCCA